GAGCCACCCUUAUGGGGCAGGACUUGCUUCCCUGGGGCUUUGGUGCUCAUUGAGUCUGCCCCUUGAGUGUGUUACU
rfam:Myotis brandtii contig325125, whole genome shotgun sequence.